GAUGAACGCUGGCGGCGUGCCUAAUACAUGCAAGUCGAGCGAACGGACGAGAAGCUUGCUUCUCUGAUGUUAGCGGCGGACGGGUGAGUAACACGUGGAUAACCUACCUAUAAGACUGGGAUAACUUCGGGAAACCGGAGCUAAUACCGGAUAAUAUUUUGAACCGCAUGGUUCAAAAGUGAAAGACGGUCUUGCUGUCACUUAUAGAUGGAUCCGCGCUGCAUUAGCUAGUUGGUAAGGUAACGGCUUACCAAGGCAACGAUGCGUAGCCGACCUGAGAGGGUGAUCGGCCACACUGGAACUGAGACACGGUCCAGACUCCUACGGGAGGCAGCAGUAGGGAAUCUUCCGCAAUGGGCGAAAGCCUGACGGAGCAACGCCGCGUGAGUGAUGAAGGUCUUCGGAUCGUAAAACUCUGUUAUUAGGGAAGAACAUAUGUGUAAGUAACUGUGCACAUCUUGACGGUACCUAAUCAGAAAGCCACGGCUAACUACGUGCCAGCAGCCGCGGUAAUACGUAGGUGGCAAGCGUUAUCCGGAAUUAUUGGGCGUAAAGCGCGCGUAGGCGGUUUUUUAAGUCUGAUGUGAAAGCCCACGGCUCAACCGUGGAGGGUCAUUGGAAACUGGAAAACUUGAGUGCAGAAGAGGAAAGUGGAAUUCCAUGUGUAGCGGUGAAAUGCGCAGAGAUAUGGAGGAACACCAGUGGCGAAGGCGACUUUCUGGUCUGUAACUGACGCUGAUGUGCGAAAGCGUGGGGAUCAAACAGGAUUAGAUACCCUGGUAGUCCACGCCGUAAACGAUGAGUGCUAAGUGUUAGGGGGUUUCCGCCCCUUAGUGCUGCAGCUAACGCAUUAAGCACUCCGCCUGGGGAGUACGACCGCAAGGUUGAAACUCAAAGGAAUUGACGGGGACCCGCACAAGCGGUGGAGCAUGUGGUUUAAUUCGAAGCAACGCGAAGAACCUUACCAAAUCUUGACAUCCUUUGACAACUCUAGAGAUAGAGCCUUCCCCUUCGGGGGACAAAGUGACAGGUGGUGCAUGGUUGUCGUCAGCUCGUGUCGUGAGAUGUUGGGUUAAGUCCCGCAACGAGCGCAACCCUUAAGCUUAGUUGCCAUCAUUAAGUUGGGCACUCUAAGUUGACUGCCGGUGACAAACCGGAGGAAGGUGGGGAUGACGUCAAAUCAUCAUGCCCCUUAUGAUUUGGGCUACACACGUGCUACAAUGGACAAUACAAAGGGCAGCGAAACCGCGAGGUCAAGCAAAUCCCAUAAAGUUGUUCUCAGUUCGGAUUGUAGUCAGCAACUCGACUACAUGAAGCUGGAAUCGCUAGUAAUCGUAGAUCAGCAUGCUACGGUGAAUACGUUCCCGGGUCU
rnacentral:rRNA from 1 species